AGGUUGGAGCCAUCAUGUGAUUCACCAUCUGUCACAACAACCAUUACUUUUGUGGCUGCUGGACGUCCUCCUGAUUCAGCUGGAGGAUUCUGCCUACCACUGGGAACCUACUCAGAGGCCCUGAGCAAAUUGUCUACUAGUGGGAAUGAAAUCAGGAUGCUCUCCUUGCUGUUUAAGAUGCUGCAGCAUCCAUCCCUGGACCUCCCAAGGCCACUCUGAUGGUCCUGCUUUCUCCAAGAUUGGGGCUGAUUCCAAGAAGCAAGGACAUCGCCUGUCCCAAGCUCCUUGUGGUUCCUCUGGGCUUCAUCCCAGCUUACAGAAGGAAUGCUCUUUUUCUCUUCCCAGCCUCCCAUUCCUUCUACUCACUGAACCAUUUUACUCAUCCUUCCUAUUUACUACUGAGGGUUGAUUUUAUUCUUUUUAAUCAUUGAAGCAUCAGAACACUUUGAGAGCAAGAAAUGUCCACCUGGAAUAAUGGAAAAGUGUCUGUCAGAUCACAGGUCUCUUCAGAAAUGGCUCUAUUAUGUUCACUUUCUGGACAGGCAGCCAGUCAACAACAGUGAAAACAAAAGAGAAAAAAAGAAAUCAGAACACCCAGUCUCUGAAGAUACACUGUUGUCUGCAAUAUUUUUAUGGAUCAGCUUCACCUCUCAUUCAUGACUUCUUUUCAAAAAUCAUAGCAGAAAUGCUGGCAAAUACUCUGACUCAGCAUGAACAUUUAUCAAGUGAACCAUAGUUUCCGCACAUUUCAAUCACACUGUAAAUUCCACAUUUUUAUAAUCAUCCGCAGUUUUUAUAGAUCUACUCCACACAAACCUUACUUGGUUUGGGCCUAGCAAGUGUACACUGGCACUAAUAUACUAGGCAUUUUCCUGACAUUUUCCUCUAUCUUAUAUAGUGCUUACACUGUUAGAACAUCUUUUAUCCACUUUGUACAACUGUCUAAAUACAGUAUCCAAAAAAAGAAAUUCAAGCAUUUGCAGCAAAAAAAAAAAAAAAAAGGAAGAAAAAAAAGCUGUUUCCUUUAACUCUAUUUUAAGCCUGUGCAGAAUAAGAGGGUCUCUUAUGCAAUAAAAGGGUGCCAAUCAUUGAAGCAUCUAGGUUCAAAGUACUGUAUAUUCUAGCUGGAACGAUUCAGAAUCUGUUGCUGCCUUCAGACAAUGAAUUUUGAUAAUGUAAGAAUCUUGAAAUAAAGAAAACUAAUUCACUAUCUGGAUUUAAAUAGCUUUUGGUGACAGACUACUACUUUGUGACCCAGUGAUCAUGAUGAGAUAUUAGUUGGGCAAGUAAAAACGCAUUUCCUAACUUCUGUCUGUAAAUGGCACUUUAUUUACAGUCAAGUAAACAGACCGUGUGGAACAAAGGAAGCCAAAUACAAACCUAAAGCUUAUGAAAGCCUCCCUAAAGACUUCAAAAGCAACAGUUCUUCUCCAGUUACUGGGAAGGGGGCUUGGGCACUUUGAUUUGCAAAGAGGACACCUUCAUCCAGCCGAGCAGCUCCCAACAUCAAGCUUCAGACAGGAAAAAUAAGAAAAAAGUCCUAAUGGGAUAAAAGAAACUGUAAGCUUUCUAAAAUACUCCAGUAUCUCUUGGCAUAGCACUUUUUCCCUGGGAGUUCCCGUAUUUCAGCAUAUGCAUUAUUGCAGUGUAAGCCAUAGGAGCUGCCAUGUAGGAGUAUUGCUGGUUUUGUACUUCUGCACUGGGAUGUUCUUGCUCCUAACAGGAUGAAAAGUAAUACAUGUUAUGACUGGGCACCUUUAAACCUCAGCAUGUGGGAAUUCUUCUUUAACUAUAAAUGACACAUCUAAUGAUAACUCUAAUGCCUUCUGUUUGCUUUAUUCUGUUUGUAGUACAAGCUGAAGCAAGUUUUAUUGAAGUAAAAGCUCAUAUUAGGUACACCCAGUUCAUAAUUGUUUUGAUUUUGUAAGCAAAGCUCACAGCUUAAAGUGACCAAGCAGAAAACGUAUGUUUGGUAACCAGUUGCUUACUGUCAUCAUUAUAAUAGCUGUCUGACUGAAACCCCUUAUUCAGAUUAACCAGUAUAUAAAAAAAAGAAGAUUUUCAACUGGGUGAGAAAAAAUGAAAUCAGAUUUUUAGGUGUUUGAUUAUGUGGU